rnacentral:rRNA from 1 species
GUAAGGAAUCUUUCGCAAUGGGGGCAACCCUGACGAAGCAACACCGCGUGGAGGAUGAAGGCGUUUUCGUUGUAAACUCCUUUUCUGAGGGAAUAACUCUGAAGGUACCUCAGGAAUAAGCAACGGCUAACUACGUGCCAGCAGCCGCGGUAAGACGUAGGUUGCGAGCGUUAUCCGGAAUUAUUGGGCGUAAAGCGUUCGUAGGUGGUUUGUUAAGUUGGAUGUCAAAGCCUUGAGCUCAACUCAAGAUAGGUGUCCAAAACUGGCAGACUAGAGACAGGUAGAGGCAGGUGGAAUUCUGUAUGUAGGGGUAAUAUCCGUAGAUAUACAGAGGAACACCAAAAGCGAAGGCAGCCUGCUGGACCUGUUCUGACACUCAAGAACGAAAGCGUGGGGAGCAAACGGGAUUAGAAACCCGUGUAGUCC